rnacentral:rRNA from 1 species
UACGUAGGGUGCUAGCGUUAAUCGGAAUUACUGGGCGUAAAGCGUGCGCAGGCGGUUUUGUAAGCCAGAUGUGAAAUCCCCGGGCUUAACCUGGGAAUGGCAUUUGGGACUGCAAGGCUUGAGUGCGGCAGAGGAGACUGGAAUUCCUGGUGUAGCAGUGAAAUGCGUAGAUAUCAGGAGGAAUACCGAUGGCGAAGGCAGGUCUCUGGGCUGACACUGACGCUCAUGCACGAAAGCGUGGGGAGCAAACAGG